GCCCGAGUGCAGAGUGCCGCGAGAGGGUGCCCUGAGGAAUGUAGCUGUUAAAAGAAAGGAGGCAACACAGCGUGGUGAAAAACAACCUGAGUUUUGAAGUUUGGCCAAGAUUAGAAUCUUGAGACAAGACAAGACCACUUCAGCCGAUGGGAAGAAUUUGCUGAUGCGAGAAAAACAUCACAUCCUUGAGGUUGAUGGGGUAAGAAGGCCACACCGACAUCAACGUCGCGGUUGGACGUGUGAGGAUUCAGCAUUGUGUCUAUUGUGAAUCAGUUCCUUGCAUCGUGGCCUGUGUGCAGUAAUGGAAAGAAUACAUUUCACUUCAGUAAAAAGUAAAAGCAAAAAAUGAGAGGGCUUGCUAAGAACCUCUGCAGAAUGAUAACUGGCAGCCUCCGCCUGUGACUGCGGAGCUUAUAUAGCAGGAAGACGCCAUUAAUGUUGGCAUGGUGGGUGCCUGUUGUGCCCCUGCCCUCAUUUGUCAAAUUUUGUGCUGCAUCUGUAGCCAAAAUAAUGUUAAGA